UCAGCCGGCCGGGCGGCCGCUCCGGGGUUCGCCCCGGGGAGGAAAGUCCGGGCUCCAUGGAGAGACGGUGCCGGAUAACGUCCGGCGGGGGCGACCCCAGGGACAGUGCCACAGAGAGCAGACCGCCCCGUCGAGGCCCAGCCUCCGCGGGGUCAGGGUGAAAGGGU
rnacentral:RNase_P_RNA from 1 species